rnacentral:lncRNA from 13 species
GAACUGAACAAGGAUUACAAGUAUCUGUCAACAGUUUAAAGGAAAGCAUUGGAACAGUAGCCAUCAAGAUAUAACACUGUCAUGCCAGAGAAUAAUUCCAGUGAUGUGACCAUUCAGCCCAGGGAAACAGUCUGAGAGGCCAUCAAGACAAUGUCGCACCUGCAGGGGACUCCACUUGCUGCGUCCACCUUGGGAAGAAGAUGAAGCAGACACUGGCAUACGCCAUGGAGAGGGUGGUGGAGCCUGCUGCUGGAGCAGUUUUCACUGUGACAGACUCCCCGAGACUCUGGAUGUCCCGCCUUCUCACCUGUGACACUGAUGCGAUCAUGCCUUUGGAUCUACCCUUCCGGCUCAGCUGGCGCCUUUCACUGUUUCUGCUGCAGACUCACCUUCAGGCUUUGCACCCUAUUCCAGACUAGAGUGCGGUUGCAUGACCUGGGCUCACUGCAGCCGCCACCUCCUGGGUUCCUGCACUUCUCCUGCCCCAGCCUCCCAAGUAGCCGGGAUUACAGGUAUGUGCCACCAUGGCCAGCUAAUUUUUGUAUUUUCAGUAGACACAGGGUUUCCCUUGUUGGACAGGCUGGUCUCAAACUCUGACCUCAGGUGACCUGCCUGCCUUGGGCUCCCAAAAUGCUAGGAUUACAGGCGUGAGCCACUGUGCUCAGCCUAUUAUGGGUAUUCUGAUUAUGUUUUCUCUGUGACUACUGUGUCCCCUUAAGUUAGUUGUGUUCAUUUUCUAUGGCUGUCGUAAAAUAUUACCACAACUUAGUGACUUCAAAUGACACAAAUUUCUUGUGUCACAAUUCUGGAGAUCAGAAGUCCUAAAAUCAGUAUGUCAGCAGAACUGCAUCCCUCCCGGAGCCUCUGGAGGAGAAUCCACUUCCAU